GAUGAACGCUGGCGGCAUGCCUAAUACAUGCAAGUCGAACGAGAGGAAGGAAAGCUUGCUUUCCUGAAUCUAGUGGCGAACGGGUGAGUAACACGUAGGUAACCUGCCCAUGUGCCCGGGAUAACUUCUGGAAACGGGUGCUAAAACCGGAUGGGUAGCAGACAAGCAUUUGACUGCUAUUAAAGUGGCUAAGGCCAUGAACAUGGAUGGACCUGCGGUGCAUUAGCUAGUUGGUGAGGUAACGGCCCACCAAGGCGACGAUGCAUAGCCGGCCUGAGAGGGCGGACGGCCACAUUGGGACUGAGACACGGCCCAAACUCCUACGGGAGGCAGCAGUAGGGAAUUUUCGUCAAUGGGGGGAACCCUGAACGAGCAAUGCCGCGUGAGGGAGGAAGGUCUUCGGAUCGUAAAGCUCUGUUGUAAGAGAAAAACGGCACUCAUAGGGAAUGAUGAGUGAGUGAUGGUAUCUUACCAGAAAGUCACGGCUAACUACGUGCCAGCAGCCGCAGUAAUAC
rnacentral:rRNA from 1 species